GUUUCCGUCGUGUAGUGGUCAUCACGUUUGACUUACACCCAAAAGGUCCCCAGUUCGAAACUGGGCGGAAACA
rnacentral:tRNA from 1 species